rnacentral:rRNA from 1 species
UACAGAGGUCCCAAGCGUUGUUCGGAUUCAUUGGGCGUAAAGGGUGCGUAGGUGGCGCUGUAAGUCGGGUGUGAAAUUUCGGAGCUUAACUCCGAAACUGCAUUCGAUACUGCGGUGCUUGAGGACUGGAGAGGAGACUGGAAUUCAUGGUGUAGCAGUGAAAUGCGUAGAGAUCAUGAGGAAGACCAGUGGCGAAGGCGGGUCUCUGGACAGUUCCUGACACUGAGGCACGAAAGCUAGGGGAGCGAAUGGG